rnacentral:lncRNA from 1 species
CCAAUUCUCUCAUGGUUCUUUCUCUUUGUUCUUGGGGCCUAAUUGCUGGAUUUUCUUGAAUUAUUUGGUUCUGGACAGCAUGUCCAUUUGGGGCAGCAACUUGUGGAUUAGGUUUAGCCAUUGGUGCGGCUUGUUGGUAAAAUUCGGUUGCUUCAGACGAAGCUUCUGCGGCUUGCUUUCUAAGUCUUCUGAGAGUGCGUUCAAUUUCUGGAUCAAAGGGCAGUGUGUCCCUGUGUUCAGAUCUGGUCAUGAAAGAAAAAUAAACAAGUUAAAUCAAUUCCCCGGCAACGGCGCCAAUUUUUGACUCGCGGUUGUCGAAGCCAGUCAAAAAUAACCUUUCUGGUUAUCAACAAUUU